rnacentral:rRNA from 1 species
UGGGGAAUAUUGGACAAUGGGGCAACCCUGAUCCAGCAAUGCCGCGUGAGUGAUGAAGGCCUUCGGGUUGUAAAGCUCUUUUGUCCAGGGCAGCGAUGAUGACGGUACCUGGAGAAUAAGCCCCGGCUAACUUCGUGCCAGCAGCCGCGGUAAUACGAAGGGGGCAAGCGUUGUUCGGAAUUACUGGGCGUAAAGGGCGCGUAGGCGGCCGAUCAAGUCAGGCGUGAAAUUCCCGGGCUCAACCUGGGGCUGCGCUUGAUACUGAUUGGCUUGAAUGCGGGAGAGGAUAGUGGAAUUCCCAGUGUAGAGGUGAAAUUCGUAGAUAUCAGGAGGAACACCGGUGGCGAAGGCGGUUCUCUGGGCAUUACCUGACGCUGAGGAGCGAAAGCAUGGGGAGCGAACA